rnacentral:rRNA from 1 species
GGUGAACGCUGGCGGUAGGCCUAACACAUGCAAGUCGAACGGCAGGACAGUAAGAGCUUGCUCUUACGGGUGGCGAGUGGCGGACGGGUGAGGAAUACAUCGGAAUCUACUUUUUCGUGGGGGAUAACGUAGGGAAACUUACGCUAAUACCGCAUACGACCUACGGGUGAAAGCAGGGGAUCUUCGGACCUUGCGCGAUUGAAUGAGCCGAUGUCGGAUUAGCUAGUUGGCGGGGUAAAGGCCCACCAAGGCGACGAUCCGUAGCUGGUCUGAGAGGAUGAUCAGCCACACUGGAACUGAGACACGGUCCAGACUCCUACGGGAGGCAGCAGUGGGGAAUAUUGGACAAUGGGCGCAAGCCUGAUCCAGCCAUACCGCGUGGGUGAAGAAGGCCUUCGGGUUGUAAAGCCCUUUUGUUGGGAAAGAAAAGCAGCAGGUUAAUACCCCGCUGUUCUGACGGUACCCAAAGAAUAAGCACCGGCUAACUUCGUG